UUCAUUUGAUGAUGAAAAAAAUGCCAUCGUAGGCAACUAGCGUUGAGUAUAAAUGUCUGUAACUGAUGUCGUUUUGGGAGAUGUUGAUUUUGGAGUGUGGGAUCCUUGGGUUCACUUGGAAAAGCUUUCAGGAGAGCUCCUCUUUCACCAGCACCGGCGAGUUCCCAGUUCAUCAAGAAUAAGUCAUGAAAACCUAUUCCUAGGCUGAAGUCAUGGUGUGUUUUAAGAGGAAGCCACCAGCAUUUUAAUUGUCCUGCAGAACAACAGAUACCUAUCUACACAGCUGUUACCAGGAGAAGAGGUAACUUGGUCAGCUGCUGAUUUUUAUAGACUCAGAAAGAAUCAAGCAGAGACAUGCUAGGAAAACCUGGCACAUCUGGAGUGAGUACAUCCAUUCCAAAUGCAUCAAUGACAAGCCUUUCAAAGUGAUGACUUUUGUUCUAGUUCAUCACCAUACUGCUGGUCCCAGCUUUUCCAAGUUCUGAUUCAAGCUCAAGCUCAAAGUCAACCUCAUUACCAUAAUUCUGGCCCCAAAUUGUAAUACUACUGUUAUCAAUGGCUAAAGAAAAGAGCAUGCCCACAUUAAUUCUGUAAGCCAGUGGCAGAGAGACAUUCCAACUGCCCAGAAUUCUGUGAAGUAUAAAUGAAUGUAAGCAGUAAUGAAAACAAUCUUCAAGAAAUCACAUUUGUGUUGAAAUAGGAAAGAUAUAUAAAUAAAAAUAAGACUUUAAGGGGCCUCCCCAGUGGUGCAGCCGUUGAGCGCUGGGUUGCGAAGCUGCCCGCAGCCACUGCAGCACCAGUUCGAUCCACGUUCACCGGGCGAGGGGGCCA